rnacentral:rRNA from 1 species
AAUAGCGCGGUGGUCCCACCUGACCCCAUGCCGAACUCAGAAGUGAAACGCCGUAGCGCCGAUGGUAGUGUGGGGUCUCCCCAUGCGAGAGUAGGGAACUGCCAGGC